GCCACAUCUUCUUCUAGAAACCAAAUGACUCCCCAGGAGAACUUGCAUUAAAAUCAUCCAUAAGCCAUCUAUAUGCACUCUUAAUAGUGAAAAUUCCCUUACGGUAGUGAAUCCUGAAUCUGACAUCAUCCCUCCUUGUUUGCAAUAAAGGAAUUUGACCAAUUAGAGCAACAUUUCUAUCAUUAAAAAGGUUCCUUAUAAUUUCCAUAUUCCAUGAUAACCCAUCAUCCGUCAUCAACUGACAAACCAACUGAUAAUGAG
rnacentral:misc_RNA from 1 species